rnacentral:rRNA from 1 species
UACGUAGGUGGCAAGCGUUAUCCGGAAUUAUUGGGCGUAAAGCGCGCGCAGGCGGUUUCUUAAGUCUGAUGUGAAAGCCCACGGCUCAACCGUGGAGGGUCAUUGGAAACUGGGGAACUUGAGUGCAGAAGAGAAAAGCGAAAUUCCACGUGUAGCGGUGAAAUGCGUAGAGAUGUGGAGGAACACCAGUGGCGAAGGCGGCUUUUUGGUCUGUAACUGACGCUGAGGCGCGAAAGCGUGGGGAGCAAACGGG